GGAAUAGACAAGACAUCGAAAUCUGCAAUAAUUUACUUCUUGUUUCAAGUAAAUAAAUUUAGAAAGCAAAGAAUCAUCACAGAUACAACUUAUCAAAAAGCUGGGGACAGGGUGCCUGUAGGUCUGUAUCUCAAAUACUCCCUGAGAGAAGAGAGAAAUGCAGGCAGAGCUUAAACUGGACAAGAAGAAAGCAAAAAACCAGAUCAAAGGAAUUAAGUCAGUUAUCAUGACCUUGCUCUAACUAUUGAACCAUUCAGAUGUCGCAUCCAAAACGAUGGCAGUGGUUGUACAAGACUUGAAUCAACUCACAUCGCCUAGGCUCAUAACAGACAUCUGUAAUCUUUAAAGACUUAAACCUUGUUAUUUAAUUAACAGUGGAAAUGUUUAACUCGAGUUUUAACUUCUCAAUGUCAGUUUCCUGUUCAGUUACUGUCUCGCAUAAAACAAAGCUACAUGUUUCACUUGAAAACAGGAAAGAUGAACUAGGAUCAUGCAAAAGGGUAA